AAACACACAAUCUUCAAUCCAAAAAAAAAGACAAUUCCGAAAACAUGCGUGUGGUUCGGAGAGAUCUAAGAUUCGUCUAUCUUAACUCCUCGAUCUCUCGUCUCGCGACUGUCGGUUGAUCUGCAGCUAAAGCUCUGAUGGGUUCUGUAAUGAGCUUAAGCUGUUCCAAGAGGAAAGCAACUACAUUAAUCCUCCUCUGAACCCGAAGUCAGCUCAUAAACCGGGAUCUUAACUUUGUUGCGUUUCACUGGUUAAACAUCAGGCUUUAAAGCACCAAGCUUUCUGCAUAUUCCAACAGAAACUAUUGGGAUCUCUCAACCAUCGUCGCACACUAUUAAUGUAUAGAUGUAAACCGGUUAAGUAGAUUAACUGGUAUAAUUGAUUUCAGUUGGUUUAGUAAUUGUAUAUAUAUCUUGUACCAACAUUCAUUCCCGGAGGGUGGAAAAUAAGAGAUCAUUAUACCAAA